UUGGUCUUCAAUCCUGCUUCUUACCUCUGGAGGAGAUUUGCUACAAACCGAAGCUCUGAACAAUAGACUGAAUGACCAAUCCAAGCUGUGGCUGUAUUCCAGAGACUUGAUGUAAACCAGCAAUUUAUUCCAUCACUGCUACAAGCCUGAGUCAAGAACUUUGCCAUAACUGUCAGAUGAGAGGCCUGUUGGAACCUAACUCUGGGACACAGCUCAAGACCAAAGCUGCCAGAACUCUUAACCCCUGCACAAUCAUACUGUGCAGAAGCUGGAGCCCCGUACGAGAUAGGACACUGACUGGCCAUCAGAAGAUGUCUGGCUGCUUUAUUGGGAGUGCACACCGGGCAACGAACCCCACUGUUGCUGUCCUCGGGCCCCUGUGCUGACAACAGUCUUGGCGUCCCUGGGUGGGCUCGAGGCUGAAAUUUUGCCUUGCCCGGAUCCCUCCUGGCGGCCGACGGAUUAUGACGACGCCUAGAGCGCUCACCGGUGACUUCAUCGGGGGCCUCGGCGGAGACGUGAUUUGGUCGACCCCGGAGGGCACAACGAUGCAACGCGGUCGAGUAGUGGAGAAGCAGCUGCGGGCGACGGUGGGGAACCGUUCCCGUGGAUAGGGCAACGGUGCAGAACCGGACCCUUGGAUAAGGUAUACCAAAGAUUUGCAACCUCUCCCGCUGGAUGCCCCGAUCCACUCCUUGCAGCCAGGCGAUUCCGUACUCGUCCGGACCUGGAAGGACGAGCCUCUCCAAGAGAAGUGGAAGGGACCCCACACCAUCCUGCUGGUCUCCCAUACAGCAGCAAAGGUUGAGGGACACAAGAACUGGAUUCAUCACUCUUGUCUGAAAGCAGUGCCUGCUCCUGAACGGUGGACCGUCCAGCCUGCAGAGAAGACUGCCAGCGACGAUUUGGGACUUAAGCGGUUAUUCAGACGACAAUAGUGUCUGCUGGGAAUGCCCUGUGAUCUCUUUGGACAGUCACAGCGCACUCCCUGCGAGACCUCUGAGCGUUGGUUGUGUUUGUUUUCACAGGACCGGCCUAACCUGGUGUCCUGGUCCCUUUUGUUUUUAAUCUGCUUACUAUUGGUAAUUGUUAUUUUGUGGGUAUUUGGGGAAUUGUGAUUGUUAGGCCCUAGGGUCACCUGUCCUAUAUGAGUUCAGAUCCAGGGUCUGCCACAGUGGUGCUCUUUGCCAUAGGGACACUCCUCUUGUUAACUCCCGUUUCCCCCCAGGCACAUGCGGGAUGGAAAGGAAUCCCUACUAACUUAGAGACAAACACAUAUGAAUCCCUGAAGGUUUGCUUUGCCCAAGAGUUUAACCUCUCCAACUGCUGGGUAUGCUCCCAAAUCCCACACCAUGCUGCAGGGUUACCCUGGAGGGUAGUUCCCCAGAAUUGGUCAGAUAUCUGUUGGGGAUGGUUCAGUAGGGGGAAAAAUGCCUCGGGUACCCCCUUGUCACAGAACUGUACCAUUGAGUCCAGUAUGCAUUAAGGGACGACCCCUGGAAGCCGCAGGCCAACUCAACAUAUAUCCCUUCCCCUAUUAGGUUGCGGCCAGUGGCCCCUGGGUUGGCGUGCUAUCGACAGUUUAAGUCCAGCAAUCACACCUGGUUUGCUGGGAAUAGCACCUGUCAGUAUUAUUUAUCCUCUGACAGUGAUGUUUCCAUCCCUGUCUAUGUUAACGGCAAAUCCGACUCUACCGCCCGGUUUGGAUCGUUUAAUGACACACAAGUAAAUAGGUGGAGUAGAGGUUAUAAUGGCUUGGUAAGGAGUGGCCACUCCUUUUAUAUUUGCGGUACCUCUGCCUAUAAGUGGCUACCACAUCGGUGGUAUGGAAGCUGCUAUCUAGGAUAUCUUGCCCCGCCCCUUCGUGUCCUCCCUAAACUGCCCCCUGGCCGCGCCAGGCAACGUAGAUCUUUGUAUGCCACCCCAGAGCCCAUUACAGAAGGAGACAGAUUGGGUAUGAUCUUUCUCCCAUCCUAUGGGGUAGGACAACUGGCUCAAUUUUAUCAUAGGCUCUCUGUGUUUCUCACCAAGUUCGCCAAUGAGACCUUGGCCAUAGAGAAAAGCCUUAACUCAGAGCUUUACCAGCUCCGGUUGCUGUCCCUGCAAAAUAGACAGGCCUUAGAUUAUGUUUUAGCCUCCCAGGACGGGGUGUGUGUCCUUAUUGGGAGUGAAUGUUGUACUUAUGUCCCAGAAAACUCACAGGACAUUAACAAGCACGUCCUGUCAGCCGAACAGGCUUUUGAGCAGUGGAAGGCUCAGGAAAGGGAACCCACAGUUUUUGAUUCCCUUUGGAGUUGGUUGCCCAACCUGGGAGGACUGGGAAAUAGCCUUGUGCGUCUCCUCCUCACAGGUGUGGUACUGUGCCUGGUCACCCUCCUCCUGAUUGCUUGUUUUAAAUUGCUCCUCCGUAAGCUGUGUGCCCCCCGUUCCCCAGAAAUCCCAGCAUUCUCCCUCAUUGAGAACCCCAGCUCCAUGGUACUCAAUCGUAUCUUGUCUACAGAAUAUGAGAAAACUCAGCCAAAAGCUUGAGUAUUCUCAAAGGAGGGAACUGUUGGGGUUACUAGGCCUGCCUGAGCCAGAGUUCUUCCAUGUUUAAACUCUGUCCUUCCAUGUUUAACUCUGAUCGACCUUAACAACCAAGGACAGGAAUUGGAAUGUGUAAACAGCCAGUUAGCAAUUACGACCUUGCUCAUACUAGGUACCAAACGAUAAUGAUGAGGUUUUCAUGUUUCUAGCUGGGGAAGGGGUAAUAAACUAAGGGUAAACAGAACCAAAUAACUGUUUAGAGGAGUGUUACUAACAAGCUAGAUUAUAGCCCUAGAAUGAUUUAAUUGCUUAAAUGUAUAAACAUGCCUUCGGUAGAGA